UGGGCUGGCCGGGCGACCGCGUCGUACUCCUUCGGGAGGACGCCGAGGAAGGUCCGGGCUCCACAGGGCAAGGUGGUGGGUAACACCCACCCGGGGCAACCCGCGGGACAGUGCCACAGAGAACAGACCGCCUGCUCCCCUGGCGACAGGGAGGCAGGUAAGGGUGAAACGGUGGUGCAAGAGACCACCAGCGACCCGGGCGACCGGGUCGGCUCGGUAAACCCCACCUGGAGCAAGGUCAGACAGCGUGCGUCCGAGGGCUGCUCGCCCGAGCACGCGGGUAGAUCGCUGGAGGCGGCCGGCAACGGUCGUCCUAGAUGGAUGGUCGCCCAUCGGGACCCUCGCAAGAGGCCCGAGGACAGAACCCGGCCUACAGGCCAGCCCGUCCG
rnacentral:RNase_P_RNA from 1 species